rnacentral:rRNA from 1 species
CUACGGGCUGCUCCAGUGAGGAAUAUUGCACAAUGGAGGAAACUCUGAUGCAGCAACGCCGCGUGGAGGAUGACGCAUUUCGGUGUGUAAACUCCUUUUAUAUGUCAAGAAAAUGACGGUAGCAUAUGAAUAAGCACCGGCUAACUCCGCGCCAGCAGCCGCGGUAAUACGGAGGGUGCAAGCGUUACUCGGAAUCACUGGGCGUAAAGGACGCGUAGGCGGGAUAUCAAGUCAGGUGUGAAAUCCUACAGCUUAACUGUAGAACUGCACUUGAAACUGGUAACCUAGAGUAUGGGAGGGGGAGAUGGAAUUAGUGGUGUAGGGGUAAAAUCCGUAGAUAUCACUAGGAAUACCUAAAGCGAAGGCGAUCUCCUGGAACAUAACUGACGCUAAGGCGUGAAUGCGUGGGGAGCAAACAGGAUUAGAUACCCUCGUAGUC